UGGGGAAUAUUGGACAAUGGGCGAAAGCCUGAUCCAGCCAUGCCGCGUGUGUGAAGAAGGUCUUCGGAUUGUAAAGCACUUUAAGUUGGGAGGAAGGGCAGUAACCUAAUACGUUUCUGUCUUGACGUUACCGACAGAAUAAGCACCGGCUAACUCUGUGCCAGCAGCCGCGGUAAUACAGAGGGUGCAAGCGUUAAUCGGAAUUACUGGGCGUAAAGCGCGCGUAGGUGGUUUGUUAAGUUGGAUGUGAAAUCCCCGGGCUCAACCUGGGAACUGCAUUCAAAACUGACAAGCUAGAGUAUGGUAGAGGGUGGUGGAAUUUCCUGUGUAGCGGUGAAAUGCGUAGAUAUAGGAAGGAACACCAGUGGCGAAGGCGACCACCUGGACUGAUACUGACACUGAGGUGCGAAAGCGUGGGGAGCAAACAGGAUUAGAUACCCAAGUAGUCCCUGAGCGGGCUGGCAAGGCGCAU
rnacentral:rRNA from 1 species